rnacentral:rRNA from 1 species
AACGUAGGACGCAAGCGUUAUCCGGAGUUACUGGGCGUAAAGCGCGGGCAGGCGGUCAGUUAAGUCUGAUGUGAAAUCUCCCGGCUCAACCGGGAGCAGCCAUUGGAAACUAGCUGACUGGAGUCUGACAGAGGUAGGCGGAAUUCCGGGUGGAGUGGUGAAAUGCGUAGAGAUCCGGAGGAACACCAGAGGCGAAGGCGGCCUACUGGGUCAGUACUGACGCUGAGCCGCGAAAGCUAGGGGAGCGAACGGG